AAUUGGGAUUUAAAAACAUCUCUAAAAUCCCAAGGGGUGGCCUUCCCUUCAUUGAUAAAAGAAUUUUCUCUUGAAGAUGGGCGUGCCCCUGAUUAGGUAGUUGUUGAGUUAACGGCUCACCAACCCAACGAUCAGUAACUGGCGUGAGAGCGCGACCAGUCACACGGCCACUGAGACACGGGCCCGACUCCUACGGGAGGCAGCAGUAAGGAAUAUUGGUCAAUGGACGCAAGUCUGAACCAGCCAUGCCGCGUGAAGGAUGAAGGCCCUCUGGGUCGUAAACUUCUUUUAUCUGGGACGAAAUCACCUUUUUCUAAGGGUGUUGACGGUACCAGAGGAAUAAGCACCGGCUAACUCCGU
rnacentral:rRNA from 1 species